UGGCAACCCACUCAGGUCCCCUUCCGCGUUGCGGAAGCUUUGUUCUUUCGCUCUUUGCAAUAAAUCUUGCUGCUGCCUUUAUGAGCUGUAUCACUCACCGUGAAGAUCUGCAGCUUCACUCCUGAAACCAGUGAGACCACAAACCCACCAGAAGGAAGAAACUCUGAACACGUCCGAACAUCAGAAGGAACAAACUCCGGACACACCAUCUUUAAGAACUGUAACACUCACCGCGAGGGUCCGUGGUUUCAUUAUUGAAGUCAGCGAGACUAAGAACCCACCAAUUUCGGACACACCAGCACUUUGGGAAGCCGAGCCACGUGUACCAUAAGGAACAGACAAGAUGGCGCCAGCCCAGUGGAAAGCUCAUUUGCAUAACAAGAUUAGGGUGGGGCGACCAGCUUUCCCCGGCCUCUAUGUAAGUGUCACACCUGGUCAAACCAAUAUGUGAGCCCGGGUAAAUCACACGCUGCCGCCUUCUCAAGCCUGCCUAUAAAAUCUGCGGCAAUCAGCUGCUAUUCUCUGUUUUCCAGCCUCUGUCACCCAAGGAGCUGCUCUCCUCUUUCCUUUCUUCUACCUAUUAAACUUUACACUCCUUAACCCA